UACAGAGGUCUCAAGCGUUGUUCGGAUUCAUUGGGCGUAAAGGGUGUGUAGGUGGCGCGCUAAGUCGGGUGUGAAAUUUCGGAGCUUAACUCCGAAACUGCAUUCGAUACUGGCGUGCUUGAGGACUGGAGAGGAGACUGGAAUUCAUGGUGUAGCAGUGAAAUGCGUAGAGAUCAUGAGGAAGACCAGUGGCGAAGGCGGGUCUCUGGACAGUUCCUGACACUGAGACACGAAGGCCAGGGGAGCAAACGGGAUUAGAACG
rnacentral:rRNA from 1 species